rnacentral:rRNA from 1 species
AUUGAACGCUGGCGGCAUGCCUAACACAUGCAAGUCGAACGGCAGCACAGUAUGUAGCAAUACAUAUGGGUGGCGAGUGGCGGACGGGUGCGUAAUAUGUAGGGAUCUGCCCUGAAGCGGGGGACAACCCGGGGAAACCCGGGCUAAUACCGCAUAAUACUCUACGGAGGAAAUCUGGCACGCAAGUGCUGGGGCUUUAGGAUGAACCUACAUCCGAUUAGCUAGUUGGUGAGGUAAUAGCUCACCAAGGCAAUGAUCGGUAGCUGGUCGGAGAGGAUGACCAGCCACACUGGGACUGAGACACGGCCCAGACUCCUACGGGAGGACGCAGUGGGGAAUAUUGGACAAUGGGGGAAACCCUGAUCCAGCAAUGCCGCGUGGGUGAAGAAGGCCUUCGGGUUGUAAAGCCCUUUAGGCGGGGAAGAAGGUUAUAGGGUGAUAAGCCUUAUAGCUUGACGGUACCCGCAGAAUAAGCACCGGCUAACUCUGUGCCAGCCGCCGCAGUAA